UGGGGAAUAUUGGACAAUGGGCGAAAGCCUGAUCCAGCCAUGCCGCGUGUGUGAAGAAGGUCUUCGGAUUGUAAAGCACUUUAAGUUGGGAGGAAGGGCAGUAAGCGAAUACCUUGCUGUUUUGACGUUACCGACAGAAUAAGCACCGGCUAACUCUGUGCCAGCAGCCGCGGUAAUACAGAGGGUGCAAGCGUUAAUCGGAAUUACUGGGCGUAAAGCGCGCGUAGGUGGUUCGUUAAGUUGAAUGUGAAAGCCCCGGGCUCAACCUAGGAACUGCAUCCAAAACUGGCGAGCUAGAGUAGGGCAGGGGGUGGUGGAAUGUCCUGUGUAGCGGUGAAAUGCAUAGAGAUCUGGAGGGAUACCGAUGGCGGAGGCAGCCAUCUGGCCUAACACUGACGCUGAGGUACGAAAGCAUGGGGAGCAAACAGG
rnacentral:rRNA from 1 species